rnacentral:rRNA from 1 species
AUGUUGAGGCAGGGUGAUGGGUGCAAGGUGAUGGUUGUAGUUACCACACGCGAUGAAGGCAUUGCAAAUGAAAUCGGUACUGUGCAGCCAUACAACCUACCUCAGUUGUCAGAUGAGAUAUGCUGGGAAAUAAUGAAGCAAAAAAGUAAGUUUGAAACAAGAGAUGACAAAGAGCGGUUGGAGCCGAUUGGAAGGGAUAUUGCAAAAAAAUGCAAAGGUUUAGCUUUAGCUGCUCAAUCACUUGGACACAUGUUGAAGUCCAAGUCGUAUGGACAAUGGAAUUCGGUCAAAACCAAUCAUAUGUGGAAUCUAUCUACUUCCAUAGAUGCAUCAUCUAGACAUGAAGUGCUUGGAUCCUUACUAUUAAGCCACAACUUCAUGCCUCCAUACUUAAAGUUAUGCUUUGCUUACUGUGCAAUCUUUCCAAAGGGUCAGGAUAUGAAUAAAGAUGAUCUAAUUCAUCAAUGGAUUGCUCUUGGAUUCGUGGAGCCAUCUAGUACAUUCUCUAAUUUACAACUCGGUGAGAGUUACAUUGUGCAACUUCUGGAAAUGUCAUUUCUUCAACGUCCAAAGGUUGGCGCUAAAAGAAGAUUGUACGGAAGAAACAAAAGUUUCACACUGUUCAUUAUGCAUGACCUGGUGCAUGACCUUGCAAGAUCGGUCAUGGCUGACGAAUUUAACUUGGCGGGCCCUAACUGCCGCUAUGCAUGGCUUACAGAUUAUAUGAAGCCAUUAAAGUCAUCCACGACUUCACCUGAAAAGCUAAGGGCGCUGCAUAUUGUGAGCCAUAACUCACGCCCGUUACAGUUCCAGCGUGAUGCAUAUUCACCAGCUAAGUACGUCCGUGUCUUAGAUUUAAGCAGAGUCAAUUCAAAUGAGUUGCCAGAUUCUAUUGGUCAAUUGAAGCAGUUAAGGUAUCUUAGUGCUCCAAAUAUCCGUGAUGGAACAUGUCUCAGGAGUAUUUUUAUGCUCCGAGAAUUGAAUUAUAUUGACCUUCAUGGUUCUGAUAAUAUCUCAGUGUUGCCAGAGUCAAUUGGUGAAAUGAAGGGUCUGAUGUAUCUUGACUUGUCAUGUUGUAAGAGUUUAGAAAAACUCCCACAUUCGUUUGCAAAGCUCAAACAGUUGGUAUAUCUGAACUUAUCUUACAGUCGUUAUGUUUUAGGAAUACCUGAAGCUUUGGCUGACCUUACCAAACUCCAACAUUUGGGAUUAUCAGCAUGUGAAAAUCUCAGAGGACUGCCAGAAGUCAUUGGCAAUCUCACUGAUCUCCGCUAUCUGGAUCUAUCACGGUGUAUGCAGUUUAUCUUUGACAGCUCGCCAACAGAUCAAACCGAGAAUUUUAUUGAUUGUAUCUGUACCCUUCCCAAUAUGGAGCACCUGGACAUGUCUCUGAAUGACUAUCCUAUUUGUAUACCGGAAAGUGCUAGCUGCCUCAGGAAGCUGGUUCUUGAUGGGUGCGUCCAAGUUGCCAGACUUCCAGAAUGUGUGGCUAAAAUGGAUUGUCAAAGUCUUUUUGGCUUGUUGUGGCCAGCCUUUUCUGUAAUUGCAGAUGAUACUAAAUGUACCGCCAACCUUGGCUUGCUUGAGCAUAUAAAUCCUGACGAGCUGGUAAUCCAGAAACUUGAAAAUGUGAAGUCUCGAGAAGAGGUACGCAGUAUAAAACUCGGUGAAAAACAGAGGAUUGGAUAUUUGGCAUUACAAUGGAACCCACAAGCUAAGAGAUAUGUGAAUGACAAGGAGUUGCUGAGGGAGCUAGUGCCACCAAGCACUUUGCAGAGGUUUGUGAUAUAUGGUUAUAUUGGUGUCAGCUUUCCAGACUGGAUAAUGAAUAUCGGCAAUUAUCUCCCUAAUGUUGUCCAAAUGGAGAUGUCUCGUUUGCCCAACUGCAGAAGCCUUCCACCCCUCGCCCAACUACCAAACCUCCGAGUGCUUACUCUGGAAAACAUGGAAGGCCUGGAACAUUGGAAUACAACAUACUCUAGUGGUGAGGCUAGUGUGAAUGAGCUCAUGUUCUGUAAACUUGAGGAAGUGAAUAUACAUUAUUGCCCCAAGUUGUGGAUAAGACCACACCUUCCUCAAGCUACAUCUUGGAGUAUAAGGGGGAGUAAUAAUGUACUCAUAUCAUGGGCAGAGAGCGUCUCACACAAUGUUGCUUCCUCAUCUUCUUUUGCACUAGGAGUAUCUACUACUCUGACAAUUAAAAGCAGCGAGGUGCCUCUGCAUCAGUGGAGAUUGCUUCACCAUGUACCUGCCCUCAGUGAUUUGCACAUCGAACGUUGCAGUGAUUUGGAAAGCUCACCAGAGAUCACUUGGGCCCUCCAGUCCCUCAAAUCACUGACACUGGAGAUGUCGGCCCAAUCAAAACUGUCGGAAUGGGUAGGCGAGUUGACAUUUCUUCAGCAACUGGUGAUAAAGCGAUACAAAAAGCUAGAGGAAUUGCCCGAUAACAUGAGGCAACUCAAACAGCUACAAUCAUUAACACUGGAUGUCUGUCGUAGCUUGAGACAGCUGCCACUAUGGCUAGAGGAACUUACCUCUCUCAGGAAACUUGUAAUUUCGUCCUGCGAUGCGAUCACGACUUUGCCAAACAGCAUACAACAGCUCACAAAUCUGCAAGAAUUAGAAAUUCGCCACUGCCCUCACUUAGAGCAGUGGUAUGAAGCAGAGGAGAACAAGACGAAGCUUGCUCACAUAGAACAAAAGAGUAUCCAGUUUGAUAGCCCUUCCCCCUCGAGGAUGGAAGCCAUUCCUGCCAGUCGCCGUUGUUGCCCACUUCGGUGGCCCUUGCCGUGA